AGCCUUCAUGCAUGAAGGGAUCACAAUACAGAAAAGAAAAUAAAGAAAUAUCACCCAUUAGGAAACAGGGAGAGCGUAGAGCAAACAGAACAAGAAGAGAGACAGAAGACGGCCUGACAGAUGUGAGAUGGGUAAUACAGAUGGAAGACAGAUGAUAAAGAACACAGGCUGGAUGGACAACAAAUGACAAUAGAGAGUCCACUUGAAAUAAGUUAGAGUUAUUUGGGAAGAGGAUCUUCAAUCGAGAAAACACCUCCAACAGAUUAUCUGUAGCCUUUAAGUGAGUGCUUGCUAUAUGCCACAAGACUGGAGGAGCAUCAAAUGGACAGAGACGCAUAGAGGAGGAGUGGAGAAAUGAGAUGAAGAUAUGGCAGCGGGAUUCAGAGCUGGGAGGAUGCUAGAGGAAGAGAAGAGGCCACAACAUGUCACUGCUUAGACGCAAAGCUCAGUAGGGGACGUGGCAGGAGGCUAAGAGUU
rnacentral:lncRNA from 1 species